GAAGGGAUCCCCCAACAACCGCAGCGGCGGCGUCGCCCGCAAGGUUCGCUCGAUACCCCUCUUCCCGCCUCCAUCAGGUUUCUGUGUCUUGUGCGAUCCGAUUGGAACUCUGGGACUCUGGGUGGCUCCUCUGGUUUCGAACGCCAGUUCCGCACGGGGAAUUUUUUGGGUGCCCUUGGGCAAGCGGUGGUUUCGUUCGAUGUACGGCCGCAGAUCAGCCCCUCCUCCUACGUUCUUCCUCCUCCUCCCAUACACUCUUCCUCCUCGCCCUCCUCUGUGAUUUCCCCCCUAGGCCGUUCAUCCCCUGCAGCCUUCCCUAACCCUAGAUCGAUGGGAUCGCCGCCAUCUCAUCUCCUCUACCCACAUACGGCGGGAGUAGCAGUGAAGACCGCCAUGGGUUGCUACUCUGUGGGCGGGCAUCCAGUACACCCCGACGGUGCCGCAGAUCGGCCCUUCCUCCUACGUGCUUCCUCCUCCCUCCUGCGUUUUCCCACCCGGUGCCGCGACAUCGAGGCCCUCAGCACCCUCAGCAUUUCAGCAACUUCCUCUUCUACAGGGAGGACAAGCUCACCCUCCUGCACACCAUCGUCAACAAGGCCCCGGGCUACCACGAGCACACCGUGGAUCUAUCACCCAGGUCUUUACUUCUAAACAAUCCAAUGCAUCUUGCAAAGGAACGGAUGGAGGAAAUCAAUUCACAACGCUUGUCGCAAAAAUUCGACCUGAAAUCCCUGUGCUUGCGAUAUAAUGAAGAGAAUUGCGGCAAACUUGCUAAUCUGGUACGUCAGGUUUGAAUUCUUCAGGAACUGCAAAGUUGCCUGUGGUUAUGUAUACCUCUCUUAUUGUCUUUUUAUACUGCAAAUGGUAGCUAACCCCUGGAAGAUACUUAUGAACACUUCAAAGCCAUAUUCGUUACUGAAUCAGUGGUAUCCAUGUCCUUCUUUACAGCUGAGAUGAUAUGUACUAUUCGAAAAAAAGCUGAGAUCAUGUGUGUUCCAGAAAAAAUGCCCAAAUCACAGCAUGAGAUUCCUUUUUGUUUUACUUAAUUCCUAUCGUGUAAGAUUUACAGCAAUGCAAUACAAGAUUUUUUGCUUCCAUCCAUAUUUAUUUGAAUUUUCCUUUUCCUGAAUUGACAAACUAUUUGUUCAAACUUAACUAUACUUUUCCUCAAGUGCCAUUUUAAUGAUCUCAGCAUGGGUUUUCACUUCAUGUUGGCAUUUCCUGAUAGAAUGAAUUUGUACAAAAUUAUGUUCUUUUGAGCUGUGACAAGGAUCCGGGAUGUUUUCAGUGAUGCUAUAUAGUUCACAGGAACAGGCUUGUCCAAUGUAAACUGCGAGAAUUUCAUGUGCUUAUUUUGCUACUAUGGAGAAGUUCAUCCAUUCACCGGCGCUUGCAGUAUGUAUAUUAAAGGGGCAGGUAAGAGAGAAACCUUAUUUUCUUCGCAGGCCUGACUACCUCCUCUUUGAGCGGCAGGUUAAUUGCUUUUUUUUUUCUUUCAGCUCAUCUGUUAAAGUUGUAGUGCAGUGUAGGUAAAAGAGGCUUCUGGGUUAUAUACAUUCUCUUCCUUUUAAUUGUGCUACACCGCUGGCGCACUCAUUAUGAUGUUCAAAUCUUAAAUUUUGAUGUUUUUAUUAUCUUAGUAUAAGGGGUAUGGGUUUUAUAUGUCUUGUUUCUCUGUUUUUGGGCUUUUCUUUUAAAUUGCUGGAUUGGGUAUUGCUCAUGGUCUCUAUAUUUAUUAUUCUCAUUUUUCAUAUACUAGACUUUGUUUCUAAAACUGAUUCUGGAUAAUUGAGAGUUAUUUACGGUCUGUUACAUGCAUUUAUUGGGUAUAGGAUUUGCAAAGCUACUACUCUACGGUAAAAGCAUGUGUGGUUUAUAUUAUUCUUAGCUGCAAAUGUGCAUCACCUUGAGAUGUGAACAGUAGCUACAUAUAUGAAGGCUUAGUACUAGCUGCAGCUGUGAGCAGCACUAAAAUUCUAUCCAAUGGCUUACCGUGUGUGUGAGAGAGGAGAGAGGGACUUGUAACAACACUUCUAUAUUGUGCAUUUUCAAAUUGACACUUUUAUUUUUACACAAGAAAAAAUAGAGUUUUCUCUUUCAACAUUUAUUUUUGUUAUUGUGAGCAUAUGAAUUGAGGUCCCAUAUUCCAUAUUUGAUGAGUGGCUUCCGGCUGAACAUCUAUCUACAUCAUGUCCUUCCUACAUGUAUCUAAUCUAAUAUUAUUAUGAUCUGAAAUCCGAAACAGAAGUUUAUGAGUUGCAUGUUGCAACUAAUUUACCUCAACAUCCUCCUAUUUAUUUAUUAUAUUCUUCUUUUGGUUUGAUGUGUUCUAUGUACGUCUACAGCCGGAAAGUCCUUUUGGAUCAUGGGCACCAGUGCCCUCAUUGUAUUAAAAAAUUUAAAAUUAUAUUUAUAUAUUUCAAAAAAUUAUGUAACGAAAUCCUAAAAGUAGCUAAUGAUGUAUUCCACUAACGUAUAACAUCUCAAUUACAAAUAUUUUGUUAUCUAAGCUACACAAAAAUGACAAAGUUUGAAUUUUUUUGUAGAUUUGAAUCACUAUACUCAGAUCCACAUAUUUAUUAUUUUUGUGCAGCUCAAAAUACACAUUAUUUCCAGUUGAAAAUUUACACGUUUGUGGGAUACAAUACUAACUACAUCAUGAUUUAUUUUCAGAUUUUUUAAAAACUUAGAAAUAUGGUUUUUAAUUACUUUUCUGAAAAGGGAUUACUGGUGCUCAUGUGCACCAAAUCUUUGUCCAUCUACAGCCUCCUUUUUUUUUUGUUUUAUGUGUUAUGUGAAGUUGCAGGAACUGAAGCCGUUGUUCUUUCUUCUCAGUACUUUAUUUCUACUGUUACGAGGACAUCAAUUUCACAUUCUGCUUGGUCACUAGCCCCUCUCAGGGUACCAACUUGGUGUGGCAGAUUUUGAAGAUCAUAUAUAGAAGACAUAUGGAGAAAUAUGGGAGCCAAAAUGUACAAGUUUAGGAGUAACUGAGGCAAGGCUCAUUGAAGAAGAAAGCACAAGAAGAAAGCACAGGUGCAUGACGAGUUAGCCAUUCAGCGGCGAUUCUCAUGGAGGGAGACAAAACUGAGAUUGGGCUUGUGGUUGGGUCAUCAUUUUCAUUUCGACUCAACUUGAGUUCAGGGUCACCGACUGCCAUGAAAAAUUAAUCAGUGUGCUAUUAGAGGCAAUGCAGCAAGGUGAAGUUAAUUUCCAGAGAAGAUGAAUAGUUCAUGCAUGCUUCCCAGAGGUAGCCAUAAGAGUAGUUAGGCUGUGGAUGGUG